rnacentral:tRNA from 1 species
GUUAAGGUAGUUUAAUAAAAACAUUGAUUUGUGGUAUCAAAAAUAUAGAAUUGUUUAUCUUUGACC